AACGAACGCUGGCGGCAGGCUUAACACAUGCAAGUCGAACGCCCCGCAAGGGGAGUGGCAGACGGGUGAGUAACGCGUGGGAACAUACCCUUUUCUACGGAAUAGCUCUGGGAAACUGGAAUUAAUACCGUAUACGCCCUACGGGGGAAAGAUUUAUCGGGGAAGGAUUGGCCCGCGUUGGAUUAGCUAGUUGGUGGGGUAAAGGCCUACCAAGGCGACGAUCCAUAGCUGGUCUGGGAGGAUGAUCAGCCACAUUGGGACUGAGACACGGCCCAAACUCCUACGGGAGGGAGCAGUGGGGAAUAUUGGACAAUGGGCGCAAGCCUGAUCCAGCCAUGCCGCGUGAGUGAUGAAGGCCUUAGGGUUGUAAAGCUCUUUCACCGAUGAAGAUAAUGACGGUAGUCGGAGAAGAAGCCCCGGCUAACUUCGUG
rnacentral:rRNA from 1 species